rnacentral:rRNA from 1 species
AUUGAACGCUGGCGGCAGGCCUAACACAUGCAAGUCGAGCGGGGUUUUCGGACCUAGCGGCGGACGGGUGAGUAAUGCGUAGGGAGCUGCCCGAUAGAGGGGGAUACCAGUUGGAAACGACUGUUAAUACCGCAUAAUGUCUACGGACCAAAGUGUGGGACCUUCGGGCCACAUGCUAUCGGAUGCACCUACGUGGGAUUAGCUAGUUGGUGGGGUAACGGCUCACCAAGGCGACGAUCCCUAGCUGGUGUGAGAGGAUGAUCAGCCACACUGGAACUGAGACACGGUCCAGACUCCUACGGGAGGCAGCAGUGGGGAAUAUUGGACAAUGGGGGCAACCCUGAUCCAGCCAUGCCGCGUGUGUGAAGAAGGCCUUCGGGUUGUAAAGCACUUUCAGCGAGGAGGAAGGGUGAUGUUUUAAUAGAGCAUCAUUUUGACGUUACUCGCAGAAGAAGCACCGGCUAACUCUGUGCCAGCAGCCGCCGCUGUAA